rnacentral:lncRNA from 1 species
UUUUUUUCCGUAUUUUCAAUCCCCAAGGGAAUACGCUAUGCUUUGUUUUCAUAUUGAUGUUGAUUUCAUAGUGGAAAUUUGAAUUUAUAAUGAAUCCUCUUUGAUUAAAUAUGAUAAGUAUCUUGUUACUCGAGAGCAGCUGCGACGUGCCAUGCAAAUGAUCAUCAAAGGCGUUCCGGUUAAAUGAGUAUGAGAAUUGCGGUUAAGUCUGUUUGAACUAUAUAGGCAAACAGCAAUUUUCGUUUGGAUUUUAAACUCCUAUGAAAAAGUUUUUAAAAUAAUUAUAUGCAUUCUCAUGCUUAUUUAAUCAAGCUUUUCAUUUAGGUAAGUUUAAGGUUUGUAUUUAUUUCGGACCAGUUAACAAAACUCAAGCCCAUGCCCUUUCAGUUAAGAUUUUACGUUUCGAACCAGAAUCCAAAACUCAGUCUAAGUGGGUUAUAGGAUAGCUAGUGAUAACGUAAUUUAUCUUUUUAUUUUGCUUUUCUGUUUGUAACGUAAUUUAUUAGCUAAAUGUAUGGAGUGCGAGAGUGUGCGACGUGUGUAUAGGAUGCAUGGGGUUAGGUUAAACUAAAGGAAUUAAAAUUUUGACCGCAAUAUUUAGAGAGAAAAUAUAUCUUUUCUGAACAAAAUGACUAAUUUCCUAACAUAAACAAAAUUUGUCGAGUUUCGCU